UUCGGCAAUGGACGAAAGUCUGACCGAGCAACGCCGCGUGAGUGAAGAAGGUUUUCGGAUCGUAAAGCUCUGUUGUAAGUCAAGAACGUGUGUGAGAGUGGAAAGUUCACACAGUGACGGUAGCUUACCAGAAAGGGACGGCUAACUACGUGCCAGCAGCCGCGGUAAUACGUAGGUCCCGAGCGUUGUCCGGAUUUAUUGGGCGUAAAGGGAGCGCAGGCGGUCAGGAAAGUCUGGAGUAAAAGGCUAUGGCUCAACCAUAGUGUGCUCUGGAAACUGUCUGACUUGAGUGCAGAAGGGGAGAGUGGAAUUCCAUGUGUAGCGGUGAAAUGCGUAGAUAUAUGGAGGAACACCAGUAGCGAAAGCGGCUCUCUGGUCUGUCACUGACGCUGAGGCUCGAAAGCGUGGGGUAGCGAACAGGAUUAGAUACCCUGGUAGUCCACGCCGUAAACGAUGAGUGCUAGGUGUUAGGCCCUUUCCGGGGCUUAGUGCCGGAGCCAACGCAAUAAGCACUCCGCCUGGGGAGUACGACCGCAAGGUUGAAACUCAAAGGAAUUGACGGGGGCCCGCACAAGCGGUGGAGCAUGUGGUUUAAUUCGAAGC
rnacentral:rRNA from 1 species